rnacentral:lncRNA from 1 species
UUUUGUAACACUCUAAUCACUCCCAAAUCAACCAAAAACGCAGCUGAGUUCUGAAGUUCGGACAGAUUGCUACCUCUUCACUAAAGUGAGCAUAACUCACUCGUUUCUUGUCCGUUUUAGCUCAUUCUUUUUCCUAUGUGCUUGGAUUGACCUUAGCUUCGAUUCCAUGGGUUUUUCACAGAGAAUAAGUCCCUGGAACUCUGGCAAAUAGGCUCCAAAGUUCACUGUUUUCAUUUAUCUUGACUAAUCCUUGUUCAAACUUUAGUUUAACUCACUCAAACCCACGUCCUUAUGCUUAUAAUCACUUCUAUGGUUAGUUAAGCUUAAAAACGGGGGUGAGACAUACAAAAUCAGAGGUUAAUCCUCAUAUACUUUCUGUUUUGUUUAGGGUUUUUAACCCACAAGUGAUGUUCAAGAUUCAAGCUUGAUGAAGGUGUGAUUAUGGACUAACUUGGGUUGUCCAACAUAGAAUCCCCACAUUACUUGAUGAUUUCUCUUUGUAUAGUUGUUUCUUAUUCUUGUAUUGUUAUUAGUUCAUGACCCUCCUUGUAUGUUUUUACAUCAAGUGUAGUGGUGAACCAUAAGAGGUACCUAAGUGGAAGCUUGUCCUUCCUACCUCCUACAUGACUUCUAUGACACAUUUUGAGGUACCUAAAUGAAGAUGUAAUCUUCUACCUCAUGCUUGAAAUACUUGAAAAAUCUGGACUUAAUAAUAUAAACUAUACAACCUAAAUAAUAUCUAUGCACAUUCGAACCUUUGAUGUUGAACUCAUGUUCAUUUGUCAAAAUAGUAGGACAUCAUCUAAGACCUAAACCUUGUUAUGAUUCUUAUGAGUGCUAAACUCAUGAAAACAUUAUUAUAACCCUUGUGGUUACCAAGUGUCAUACAAGUGUUAUGUGUUGAAGAUGAUUAUUUCACAUGUUAUUCUCAUAUGUUAUUUUCGUUGUUUUAUUCCGAAUCUCGACUCUAAGCAUACUUGAACUUUAACCCUUAUACUUUCGGACAUUAAAUCUCUACUCGUCAACGAUUGGAUAAUCGGAAAGCCUAUGCAAUAUUGUUGAGGACGAUGAUGCUAUGAAAUGAAGUAGCGUUGAUGCCUAGAUACACAUGUAGACGUUUAGGUUUAAUCGUUGUAUCAAUGUUGAUUAUGUUGUAUUGUAUUUCCUUUGAACUUGAUGUUAUUUGAUUUCUUGUAAUGUUGACAAAAGAAUUAUGAAAUGAAAUCGGUUUAUUAAAUAUUGUC